rnacentral:rRNA from 1 species
CCUACGGGGGGCAGCAGUGAGGAAUAUUGGUCAAUGGACGAGAGUCUGAACCAGCCAAGUAGCGUGAAGGAUGACUGCCCUAUGGGUUGUAAACUUCUUUUAUAUGGGAAUAAAACGUUCCACGUGUGGGAUUUUGUAUGUACCAUAUGAAUAAGGAUCGGCCAACUCCGUGCCAGCAGCCGCGGUAAUACGGAGGAUCCGAGCGUUAUCCGGAUUUAUUGGGUUUAAAGGGCGCGUAGGUGGGUUGUUAAGUCAGUUGUGAAAGUUUGCGGCUCAACCGUAAAAUUGCAGUUGAAACUGGCAGUCUUGAGUACAGUAGAGGUAGGCGGAAUUCGUGGUGUAGCGGUGAAAUGCUUAGAUAUCACGAGGAACUCCGGUUGCGAAGGCAGUUCACUGGACUGCAACUGACACUGAGGCUCGAAAGUGUGGGUAUCAAACAGGAUUAGAUACCCGGGUAGUC